rnacentral:rRNA from 1 species
GUCUACAGCCAUGCCACUCUGAACAUGCCCGAUCUUGUCUGAUUUCAGAAGCUAAGCAGGGUUGGGCCUGGUUAGUACUUGGAUAGGAGACCACCUAGGAAGACCAUGUGCUAUAGGCA